rnacentral:rRNA from 1 species
UAAAUCAGUUAUCGUUUAUUUGAUAGUACCUUACUACUUGGAUAACCGUGGUAAUUCUAGAGCUAAUACAUGCUAAAAACCCCGACUUCGGAAGGGGUGUAUUUAUUAGAUAAAAAACCAAUGCCCUUCGGGGCUCCCUGGUGAUUCAUAAUAACUUAACGAAUCGCAUGGCCUUGCGCCGGCGAUGGUUCAUUCAAAUUUCUGCCCUAUCAGCUAUUGACGGUAGUGUAGUGGACUACCGUGGCAUU